rnacentral:rRNA from 1 species
UACGGAGGGGGCUAACGAUGUUCGGAAUUACUGGGCGUAAAGCGCACGUAGGCGGAUCGUUAAGUCGGGGGUGAAAUCCCAGGGCUCAACCCUGGAACUGCCUUCGAUACUGGCGAUCUGGAGAUCGAGAGAGGCGAGUGGAAUGCCGAGUGUAGAGGUGAAAUUCGUAGAUAUUCGGCGGAACACCAGUGGCGAAGGCGGCUCGCUGGCUCGAUACUGACGCUGAGGUGCGAAAGCGUAGGGAGCAAACAGG